AUGGCAUUUCACAGAGGAGAAGAGGUCGAAGUUUGCAGCAGAGAGGAUGGCUUUCUGGGAUCAUACUACACAGCUUACGGCAGUGGCUCAUCUCGAAAACAUGAACAGGUACGCUGUGCAGUACAAAGAGCUGUUGAAGAACGAUGAAUCUGGACCGUUAAUGGAGACAGUGUUGAAGAACGCGGUGAGGCCAGUACCACCGGAGAUGGUGGCCAGCGGUUUUGAAUACCUUGACAAUGACGGUUGGCGGGUGGGAAAGAUCACAGGGAAGGAAGGGUCAAACCACUACAAUGUCUACUUUGAAACCACAAGGGAUGAGAUUGAUUACCCAGUUUCUCGUUGGAAGUUUCAUCUUGAUUGGCGUUUUGGAAAGUGUGUUUCUUCCAAGAAAUCUCUACUCCCAUCAUCUGCUAAUUCCACUUGCUGAUUCUUGAUCUUUCACUUGUUUUCUACUCCGUUUUAUUUCGGUGUUGGACGGCACGGUGGACUUUGUUGCAGGCACGCAAAUGCCAUCUCUGCAAUGUAGAUCACUUGGUCUGCCAUUUGCCCCCUUGGAGGUGAGAGACGUUGAUCCAGUACAUCCUUAAGACAGCCAGUAAUGGUGAUAGUAACAGAGAUGAUAUGAGGUCUCCCGGAUGCUUUCCCAUGGUCACUUCUAACGUUACAACUCCGAAGCUUUACACGUCAAUCUUCUC